rnacentral:lncRNA from 1 species
UGGUUCAUAUCAAUGACAGUAGUUGUAUAGAAUGAAGUAUUAGAUAUGCAUUCGCAUUCACGUGAUAUGCUAGACUAUCUUAAAAUGAGGGUUUUCCCAAUUUUUGCACCUGUGAUCUCAUUUGACAUGUAAAAAGUUGAAGUACUGUUCAAGUAAAGUAUGUUGCGUAUUGUCAUUUUUUGUUUGUUCACAUAACGGAAACUAAUGCUCGAGGCUUUCGUAUUUGUAUACUUUAGUUCACAGUAGUUGGACCAUUCGAGCCUGUCUUUGCGUUCAUUUCAACAUAAU